rnacentral:rRNA from 1 species
GUGGGGAAUUUUGGACAAUGGGCGCAAGCCUGAUCCAGCAAUGCCGCGUGCAGGAAGAAGGCCUUCGGGUUGUAAACUGCUUUUGUACGGAACGAAACGGUCAGGGUUAAUACCCUGGGCUAAUGACGGUACCGUAAGAAUAAGCACCGGCUAACUACGUGCCAGCAGCCGCGGUAAUACGUAGGGUGCAAGCGUUAAUCGGAAUUACUGGGCGUAAAGCGUGCGCAGGCGGUUGUGUAAGACAGGCGUGAAAUCCCCGGGCUCAACCUGGGAAUUGCGCUUGGUACUGCAAGGCUGGAGUGCGGCAGAGGGGGAUGGAAUUCCGCGUGUAGCAGUGAAAUGCGUAGAUAUGCGGAGGAACACCGAUGGCGAAGGCAAUCCCCUGGGCCUGCACUGACGCUCAUGCACGAAAGCGUGGGGAGCAAACAGGAUUAGAUACCCUAGUAGUCC